GACCCCGGCCUCAUUGUCGGUGGAUCCGGCCGCCCGGAGGCGAGGGGAGACCGGCUAUCACCCUCUCUACUCUUCUCCUUCUACGUCCGGCACCGCUACAACGACGGCCGCGCGGAUCGCGUGAGGCAACGGAUCGGCGGAGGCCUGCAACAACAACGGCCGCGCGGGCGAGCAAUCGAGGAGGCCGGGAAUCACCAGAUCCGGAAGGACGGCGGCCCGAUUCGGAGAGGGAGCAACCCGAUCUGUGUCAUUGAGGCUCAUUGUAAGUGUCGACGGCGGCCGUUCCUUCACAGUGAUCCAGGGUCGUUGGGUCUGUUGAGCUCGGUAUCGACGGCAGCAGUAGCUCGGGCAAGAUGGAAGAAACGUGGAUUGGGAGCAGAUUCAUUCGCAGUUGGUAGCGAGAAGGUCAGCCUGAUGGUGCAGAACUCUGGCUUGAGGAAGACAUGCUUCAGUGUUUCUCCAUGCACCGACAACACUAUCAUCCUGCCACCACAACACACAAAUCUGGCGAUGCUUCCACCUGCAUCUGCAUGCCCCUGGCUCCCUGCAUACAAGCCUCUUGCUAUUGACAGGAUUUUAUGGCAGGAAAGCUCCCAUAAGCUUCUUGGGAGGUUAGACUGCAGCAGUAAUGAAAGGUGCUGAUGAUGGAUCAUUUAGGAUAUUGUGUGCUUUGCCAGCGUUUCAGGUUUGUUUGUUUACUUUGCAAUUUGUGCUGCUGGUUGUGGACUGCACUGUGCAAUCUUUGAUCAAUAGUAAGUGUAGAAAGUAUGAAC
rnacentral:lncRNA from 1 species